rnacentral:rRNA from 1 species
CGGCAGCAUGAUCUAGCUUGCUAGAUUGAUGGCGAGUGGCGAACGGGUGAGUAAUACAUCGGAACGUGCCCUGUAGUGGGGGAUAACUAGUCGAAAGAUUAGCUAAUACCGCAUACGACCUGAGGGUGAAAGUGGGGGACCGCAAGGCCUCAUGCUAUAGGAGCGGCCGAUGUCUGAUUAGCUAGUUGGUGAGGUAAAGGCUCACCAAGGCGACGAUCAGUAGCUGGUCUGAGAGGACGAUCAGCCACACUGGGACUGAGACACGGCCCAGACUCCUACGGGAGGCAGCAGUGGGGAAUUUUGGACAAUGGGCGAAAGCCUGAUCCAGCAAUGCCGCGUGUGUGAAGAAGGCCUUCGGGUUGUAAAGCACUUUUGUCCGGAAAGAAAUGGCUCUGGUUAAUACCUGGGGUCGAUGACGGUACCGGAAGAAUAAGGACCGGCUAACUACGUGCCAGCAGCCGCGGUAAUACGUAGGGUCCAAGCGUUAAUCGGAAUUACUGGGCGUAAAGCGUGCGCAGGCGGUUGUGCAAGACCGAUGUGAAAUCCCCGAGCUUAACUUGGGAAUUGCAUUGGUGACUGCACGGCUAGAGUGUGUCAGAGGGGGGUAGAAUUCCACGUGUAGCAGUGAAAUGCGUAGAGAUGUGGAGGAAUACCGAUGGCGAAGGCAGCCCCCUGGGAUAACACUGACGCUCAUGCACGAAAGCGUG